rnacentral:sRNA from 1 species
CUUCACGAGAAGUUUGACCUUCUAAAGCGGACACACCAAGAAGAAAAGAAGAAAGUGGAAGACAAGAAGAAGGAGCUUGAGGAGGAGGUGAACAACUUCCAGAAGAAGAAAGCAGCGGCUCAGUUACUACAGUCCCAGGCCCAGCAAUCUGGGGCCCAGCAAACCAAGAAAGACAAGGAUAAGAAAAACUGACCAUCUGCCUCUUGAGAGAGAGAGAAGUGGGCAUCCUUCCUUUAAAUUCAGGAACCACUGUUGUUUUAUUUGACUUUUUCUGUUACUUGCAUCCCUUAUAUAAGUUGUUUUGGAUUUGGGACUAUGUUUUGGGGGAGAAAAACUCCAGUUAGUUCUGUUUUUUGUAUUGGUUAUUCAGCUUACUUUUGGUAUCAAAAUUAUGCCAGUUUUAAGCUCACUUGAGUGAAGUUUAAGUCACAAGAUUCUGUUUAACAUGCUUUCCUUGUUUUGGAAACAACCAAAAACUUCCCUUUUUUGUUACGGGAUUUUGACCUACAAAUCCUAAUCAUGUUUAAAAUGUGCCGGUGUUGGGUA